rnacentral:rRNA from 1 species
AAUCAACGCUGGCGGCGUGCCUAACACAUGCAAGUCGAACGGGAAAGUGGAGCAAUCCAUGAGUAUAGUGGCGACCGGGUGAGUAACACGUGACUAACCUACCUUCAAGUGGGGGAUAACCUCGGGAAACCGGGGCUAAUACCGCAUAAAAUCUCUGUUAUGAGAAAGCAGGGAUCAAAGGAGCAAUUCGCUGGAAGAGGGGGUCGCGGCUGGUUAGCUAGUUGGUGGGGUAAUGGCCCACCAAGGCUUUGAUCGGUAGCCGGCCUGAGAGGGCGCACGGCCACACUGGAACUGAAACACGGUCCAGACUCCUACGGGAGGCAGCAGUCGGGAAUUUUGGGCAAUGGGCGAAAGACCUGACCCAGCAACGCCGCGUGAAGG